rnacentral:rRNA from 1 species
AGACUCUGUGCGCGUGCAUAUCAAUAAGCGGAGGAAAAGAAACUAACAAGGAUUCCCUUAGUAACGGCGAGUGAAGCGGGAAGAGCUCAAAUUUGAAAUCUUCAAGGUUCUACCUUGACGAAUUGUAGUUUAUAGAAGUGUUUUCUGUUAGUGGAGUUUGGUAAAAGUUCUUUGGAAUAGGACAUCAUAGAGGGUGAGAAUCCCGUAUUUGAUCAUUCUUCCCUAGCUGUGUGAUACACUUUCAACGAGUCGGAUUGUUUGGGAAUGCAGUCCAAAAUGGGUGGUAAAUUUCAUCUAAAGCUAAAUAUUGGCGAGAGACCGAUAGCGAACAAGUACCGUGAGGGAAAGAUGAAAAGAACUUUGAAAAGAGAGUUAAACAGUACGUGAAAUUGUCAAAAGGGAAGCGUUUGACACCAGUGUUGUUUUUCCGAAAAUCAAUUACGAAUGUUUUGUUUUUGAGGAGUUAUGACUUCAUCGGCUUGCUUCCUUUUCUUAUGAAACUUUCUUAAUGCACUUUUCGGUUAACAAGUCAACAUCAAUUUCUUUUGUUGUAAAAGGGUAUGAGGAAGGUGGCUUUCUUUUCGGAGAAAGUGUUUAUAGCCUUGUGCCUCUGCAAUCGGAGAGAUUGAGGUCUGCAGCGUAGAUCCUUCGGGGUUAGAUACAUUUGUGCUAAGUUAUAGCUUCUUCAUAGACAACUUGUUGACUAUGUUUAGUCUUGUAGCUUACUCGCUUAUGCUAUUUUACCUACGCUUAGGAUGUUGACAGCAGUAUAGACUGU